rnacentral:rRNA from 1 species
GAUGAACGCUGGCGGCGUGCCUAAUACAUGCAAGUCGAGCGAACGGACGAGAAGCUUGCUUCUCUGAUGUUAGCGGCGGACGGGUGAGUAACACGUGGAUAACCUACCUAUAAGACUGGGAUAACUUCGGGAAACCGGAGCUAAUACCGGAUAAUAUUUUGAACCGCAUGGUUCAAAAGUGAAAGACGGUCUUGCUGUCACUUAUAGAUGGAUCCGCGCUGCAUUAGCUAGUUGGUAAGGUAACGGCUUACCAAGGCAACGAUGCAUAGCCGACCGGCGAGGGUGAUCGGCCACACUGGAACGUGGACACGGUCCAGACUCCUACGGGAGGCAGCAGUAGGGAAUCUUCCGCAAUAGGCGAAAGCCUGACGGAGCAACGCCGCGUGAGUGAUGAAGGUCUUCGGAUCGUAAAACUCUGUUAUUAGGGAAGAACAUAUGUGUAAGUAACUGUGCACAUCUUGACGGUACCUAAUCAGAAAGCCACGGCUAACUACGUG